UCAGAUUCUCGUUUUAGAGGUAGAAAGGGGACGGUACUCUUAGAAGAAGGUGGCUGCCUACAACAAAUUGCUGCAAAAAUACAAGCGGACCCGUGAGGCGCAUCAUACGUUUGCUGAUGUGUACAAGCAUGACCCCAGGUUUAGGGCAUUCCGUGAGGGCCUCAUGCAUUCUGAGGUGAAGCUAAAAAGGCGAGUGGCCGAAUUGGAAAAGAUUGAUGAUAAAGUUGAUGGACUUAGCCAUGUAGGUGACUUAGACUGUCGUUGAAUCACUUUUUUGCCGUGGUCAAAACUAGGUCGACUAUUGGCGGCGAUGGCCUUGGCCAUAAUAGAGCCUUAUCCAUGUAGGUGACUUCGACUGUCGUCGAAUCACUUGUUUGCCGUGGUCGAAUCACUUGUUGGCGGCGAUGGCCUUGGCCGUAACAGAGUCAGUGGACUUAGCCAUGAUAAAGUUGAUGGCCUCAGCCAUGUAGGCGACUUCGACUAUCGUUGAAUCACUUGUUUGCCGUGGUUGAAACUAGGUCGACUAUUUGCGGCGAUGGCCUUGGCGUAAUAGAGUCAAUGGCUUUAGCCAUGAUAAAGUUGAUGGCAUCAGCCAUGUAGGCAACUUCGACUGUCGUCGAAUCACUUGUUUGUCCUGGUCGAAACUAGGUCGAUUAUUGGCAGCGAUGGCCUUGGCCGUAAUAGAGUCGAUGGCCUUUUAUACAUUGGAGAAGGCCGUAGCCCUUUACACAUUGGAGAUGGUCGUAGCCCUUUAAACAUUGGAGAUGGUUGUAGCCCUUUAUACAUUGGAGAUGGUCGUAGCCCUUUACACAUUGGAGAUGGCCGUAACCCUUUAUACACUGGAGAUGGCCGUAGUCUUUUAUACAUUGGGGUUGGCCGUAGCCCUUUAUACAUUGGAGAUCAAGCUAGUCCAGUCCCUUUAUC
rnacentral:lncRNA from 1 species